rnacentral:misc_RNA from 1 species
GAUGAAGGAACGCAGCGAAAUGCGAUAAGUAGUGUGAAUUGCAGAAUUCAGUGAAUCAUCGAAUCUUUGAACGCACAUUGCGCCCCUUGGUAUUCCAUGGGGCAUGCCUGUUCGAGCGUCAUUUGUACCCUCAAGCUUUGCUUGGUGUUGGGUGUUUGUCCCGCGUUGCGCGUGGACUCGCCUUAAAGCGAUUGGCAGCCGGCAUAUUGGCCUUGGAGCGCAGCACAUUUUGCGCUUCUAGUCAUGAAUGUUGGCGUCCAUUAAGCCUAUACAUUUGCUCUUGACCUCGGAUCAGGUAGGGAUACCCGCUGAACUUAAGCAUAUCAAUAAGCGGAGGA